rnacentral:rRNA from 1 species
GAUGAACGCUGGCGGCGUGCCUAAUACAUGCAAGUCGAGCGAACAGAUGAGGAGCUUGCUCCUCUGACGUUAGCGGCGGACGGGUGAGUAACACGUGGAUAACCUACCUAUAAGACUGGGAUAACUUCGGGAAACCGGAGCUAAUACCGGAUAAUAUAUUGAACCGCAUGGUUCAAUAGUGAAAGACGGUUUUGCUGUCACUUAUAGAUGGAUCCGCGCCGCAUUAGCUAGUUGGUAAGGUAACGGCUUACCAAGGCAACGAUGCGUAGCCGACCUGAGAGGGUGAUCGGCCACACUGGAACUGAGACACGGUCCAGACUCCUACGGGAGGCAGCAGUAGGGAAUCUUCCGCAAUGGGCGAAAGCCUGACGGAGCAACGCCGCGUGAGUGAUGAAGGUCUUCGGAUCGUAAAACUCUGUUAUUAGGGAAGAACAAAUGUGUAACUAACUAUGCACGUCUUGACGGUACCUAAUCAGAAAGCCACGGCUAACUACGUG